GGGCUUGGGCGGCAGCUACACAUGCAAGUCGAGCGGUAGAGAGAAGCUUGCUUCUCUUGAGAGCGGCGGACGGGUGAGUAAUACCUGGGAAUCUGCCUGAUAGUGGGGGAUAACGUUCGGAAACGGACGCUAAUACCGCAUACGUCCUACGGGAGAAAGCAGGGGAUCUUCGGACCUUGCGCUAUCAGAUGAGCCCAGGUCGGAUUAGCUUGUUGGUGAGGUAACGGCUCACCAAGGCGACGAUCCGUAACUGGUCUGAGAGGAUGAUCAGUCACACUGGAACUGAGACACGGUCCAGACUCCUACGGGAGGCAGCAGUGGGGAAUAUUGGACAAUGGGCGAAAGCCUGAUCCAGCCAUGCCGCGUGUGUGAAGAAGGUCUUCGGAUUGUAAAGCACUUUAAGUUGGGAGGAAGGGUUGUAGUUUAAUACGCUGCAAUCUUGACGUUACCGACAGAAUAAGCACCGGCUAACUCUGUGCCAGCAGCCGCGGUAAUACAGAGGGUGCAAGCGUUAAUCGGAAUUACUGGGCGUAAAGCGCGCGUAGGUGGCUAAGUAAGAUGGGUGUGAAAUCCCCGGGCUCAACCUGGGAACUGCAUCCAUAACUGCUUGGCUAGAGUACGGUAGAGGGUAGUGGAAUUUCCUGUGUAGCGGUGAAAUGCGUAGAUAUAGGAAGGAACACCAGUGGCGAAGGCGACUACCUGGACUGAUACUGACACUGAGGUGCGAAAGCGUGGGGAGCAAACAGGAUUAGAUACCCUGGUAGUCCACGCCGUAAACGAUGUCAACUAGCCGUUGGGAACCUUGAGUUCUUAGUGGCGCAGCUAACGCACUAAGUUGACCGCCUGGGGAGUACGGUCGCAAGAUUAAAACUCAAAUGAAUUGACGGGGGCCCGCACAAGCGGUGGAGCAUGUGGUUUAAUUCGAAGCAACGCGAAGAACC
rnacentral:rRNA from 1 species